rnacentral:rRNA from 3 species
CGAAAUGCGAUACGUAAUGUGAAUUGCAGAAUUCAGUGAAUCAUCGAAUCUUUGAACGCACAUUGCA